UAUAGUAGCAGAUGCAUUCUAGCAAUCACAAUUGUAAGAACAAGAAAGAAAGCUGUGCUUCCAACUGCAUUUUUAGAAUUCUUUCAGGUACGCUUAUGCUCUCAGUGUCUGUGGACCAUGAGUAGUUGUAUAGGUAUGUGGGAACAUUCACAAAGUAGGAAAAAGCGUAUGUGUCUCUUCUAUGACAUCUUCCAGUUUGCCCACAUAGAGCAUCAUACAAAUCAUACAAGCAUCAUGCCCAUAUACCUUGUAGGAAAGGGCUGUACUGCAUAUCAUCCAUUUGCUCUUUUGCUCUUCCAGAUCCCCCCUC
rnacentral:lncRNA from 1 species